rnacentral:rRNA from 1 species
GAUGAACGCUGGCGGCGUGCUUAACACAUGCAAGUCGAACGAUGAAGCCCAGCUUGCUGGGUGGAUUAGUGGCGAACGGGUGAGUAACACGUGAGUAACCUGCCCUUAACUCUGGGAUAAGCCUGGGAAACUGGGUCUAAUACCGGAUAGGAGCGUCCACCGCAUGGGGGGUGUUGGAAAGAUUUAUCGGUUUUGGAUGGACUCGCGGCCUAUCAGCUUGUUGGUGAGGUAAUGGCUCACCAAGGCGACGACGGGUAGCCGGCCUGAGAGGGUGACCGGCCACACUGGGACUGAGACGAGGCCCAGACUCCUACGGGAGGCAGCAGUGGGGAAUAUUGCACAAUGGGCGCAAGCCUGAUGCAGCGACGCAGCGUGAGGGAUGACGGCCUUCGGGUUGUAAACCUCUUUCAGUAGGGAAGAAGCGAAAGUGACGGUACCUGCAGAAGAAGCACCGGCUAACUACGUG